CGCGUGGGUAAUCUACCUCCGACUCGGGGAUAACAUUGCGAAAGCGAUGCUAAUACCGGAUAAUAUCAAGAAUGCUUCGGUUUUCUUGAUCAAAGGUGGCCUCUACAUGUAAGCUUUUGAUUGGAGAUGAGCCCGCGUACCAUUAGCUUGUUGGUGGGGUAAUGGCCUACCAAGGCUGCGAUGGUUAGCUGGUCUGAGAGGAUGAUCAGCCACACUGGAACUGACACACGGUCCAGACUCCUACGGGAGGCAGCAGUGAGGAAUUUUGCGCAAUGGGCGAAAGCCUGACGCAGCGACGCCGCGUGAGUGAUGAAGGCCUUCGGGUUGUAAGCUCUUUC
rnacentral:rRNA from 1 species